rnacentral:rRNA from 1 species
UACGAAGGGGGCUAGCGUUGCUCGGAAUCACUGGGCGUAAAGCGCACGUAGGCGGCUUUUUAAGUCAGGGGUGAAAUCCUGGAGCUCAACUCCAGAACUGCCUUUGAUACUGAGAAGCUUGAGUCCGGGAGAGGUGAGUGGAAUUCCCAGUGUAGCGGUGAAAUGCGUAGAUAUUGGGAGGAACACCAGUGGCGAAGGCGGCUCACUGGACCGGAACUGACGCUGAGGCGCGAAAGCGUGGGGAGCAAACGGG